AGUGAACGCUGGCGGUAGGCCUAACACAUGCAAGUCGAACGGCAGCACAGUAAGAGCUUGCUCUUACGGGUGGCGAGUGGCGGACGGGUGAGGAAUACAUCGGAAUCUACUUUUUCGUGGGGGAUAACGUAGGGAAACUUACGCUAAUACCGCAUACGACCUACGGGUGAAAGCAGGGGAUCUUCGGACCUUGCGCGAUUGAAUGAGCCGAUGUCGGAUUAGCUAGUUGGCGGGGUAAAGGCCCACCAAGGCGACGAUCCGUAGCUGGUCUGAGAGGAUGAUCAGCCACACUGGAACUGAGACACGGUCCAGACUCCUACGGGAGGCAGCAGUGGGGAAUAUUGGACAGUGGGCGCAAGCCUGAUCCAGCCAUACCGCGUUGGUGAAGAAGGCCUUCGGGUUGUAAAGCCCUUUUGUUGGGAAAGAAAAGCAGCAGGUUAAUACCCCGCUGUUCUGACGGUACCCAAAGAAUAAGCACCGGCUAACUUCGUG
rnacentral:rRNA from 1 species